UACGUAGGGGGCUAGCGUUGUCCGGAAUCAUUGGGCGUAAAGAGCGUGUAGGCGGUCCGGCAAGUCCGCUGUAAAAGUCAAAGGCUCAACCUUUGAAUGUCAGUGGAUACUGCCGGGCUAGAGUCCGGAAGAGGCGAGUGGAACUCCUGGUGUAGCGGUGGAAUGCGCAGAUAUCAGGAGGAACACCGGUGGCGAAGGCGGUUCUCUGGGCCUUACCUGACACUGAGGAGCGAAAGCGUGGGGAGCGAACAGG
rnacentral:rRNA from 1 species